GAUGAACGCUAGCGGCAGGCUUAAUACAUGCAAGUCGAGGGGCAGCAGUCCCGUAGCAAUACGGGAGCCGGCGACCGGCAAACGGGUGCGGAACACGUACGCAACUUUCCUUCAAGUGAGGAAUAGCCCAGGGAAACUUGGAUUAAUACCUCGUAAUAUUAUGAAGUGGCAUCACUUUAUUAAUUAUAGCUCCGGCGCUUGAAGAUGGGCGUGCGCCUGAUUAGGUAGNGGUCGGGGUAACGGCCCACCAAGCCUCGCGAUCAGUAACUGGUGUGAGAGCACGACCAGUCACACGGGCACUGAGACACGGGCCCGGACUCCUACGGGAGGCAGCAGUAAGGAAUAUUGGGCAAUGGACGC
rnacentral:rRNA from 1 species